UAUUAGGAAAAGCACUAAAGAUUUCUAUUUAAUAAAUUCCUUACCUAUUGUGGCAACGGUGGUUGAAUUCCUGUUUUAAUUUGAUUGAAAUGUAAUAUAGCAAGUCCCAUAUAUAUUUAAUACUUACUACACCUCAUAAAUUUGACGUAACAUUUGAGUGAGGUCACACUCCACAAAUCUGGGUGAUUUAGGACCCAAUCACUUUUUUAAAGUUCUUUAGCAAAUUGCCUUCUUUAAUUUAGGAACCUUGACGUUUUCAAAUAACUGUCAAAUUAUUUUGACAUUUGACACACAACCAAUACAGGAGGUUCAAACUAAUCACUACAGCGUUGCCGAAUUGUGAACCUAUUUUCUAAGCUUUCAUUCCUUAUACAUAUAUUAUUUUAUUACAUAAAGGUGUCCGGCCAGUUGGUUUACUUUGUUUAAAGUUUUAUUUCCCUGUCGAUUUUUUUCAUGCAAGGACUUUAUAGUAACUUGUGUUACCAUCUUUCCACCUCUUGGGAAGGGUUGGGUCAAACACAUACCAGUCCUUACACUCUUAAAUUGUAUAUAAUAUCAAAUGAGGAAUCCUUACCAAUUAAUUAAAAAAAAAAAUAAAAUAAACAGAUGUUAAAAUACAAACAUUGAACAAUAGGAAAUUCACGUGAAAACUGAAAUUUAUUCCUUCCAUUAACUUUGUUAAUAUUUGCCAACUUUUACCUAAACUUUAUGGACUUUUGUCCAGUAUGGCAACACCGCAACCAUCCUGGUGCCAAAUUGACAUAUACAAUAACCUCAUUUAUUUUAGUAAGGAGUUUCUUUAAUUUUUUAGGGCAAAAGAUGGUUCAUCCAAGCAUUUUUGGGUUUUAAAAUGUUCUAUAGACCGUACCCCUUCUACUAAGCAAAAAACUUGUUUGGAAAAUCGUUGGCUCUUAAAUUGCUUAAGCACCGAAAUCUGAAUAUCAUGUGCAGAGUGGAACACCCUGUACAUCAACUAUUAGCUUUGACCUUGCACACGAGAACACCAUUAGAAUAUUUAAUGAAAAAUCCUGUUCAAGUUUUUCCUAUUGUCGUUCUUUUUUAUUUACAAUUUAAAUUACCUGCGCCACUUGAAUCCCACGUUUAUCUGAUCCUAUCCUUUGCUUCUUACUUGGUAACCAGUGGCGGCUCGUGGGUCAAUCUUCAGGGGGGUCAUUUUGGUUUGAAAACUUAUAGUUUACUUUAAUAGAAAAAAAAACAAAUCAAACUAUUGAUUUUUUAAAGUAUUUGAAAGAUCUUUUAGCAUUUAUAUUUUAGAUAAAAAAUACAGACUUAGAUAAAACUCAAUAUUUACCGAGAUAUUUGCCCUAUUAAGCGGGUAAAAAUAACUUUAAAUGCUUAAAUCGUUUUUCGAAAAUUAAGUUUGCCUUUUUAUUAGGGUAAUGAUUUUAAAUAAAAAUAUAGGAAAAAGGGUAUAAACAGGUUAUCGAAACCACUCUACCCAGAACCAUCGUACGUUUUGAAGAUCGGCCGAAAAAGGACGAAAAUUCGUGUAAAUUUGCAAAAAAUAUUUUUAUCGGUUUAUGUUGACUCGCCGCUUUUUGCAGGAUGAGAUUAAGUUGAUGGGCAGUGAGUAAAGUGUGCAUUUGGGAUAUUUCUUUAAUUUUUGUUUGUACUCCUCCCAGUUUACCGCUCAUGACUGAUGCACCAUCGUAACUUUGGGCAAUUAAUUGUUCAGGUGCUUCAUUAAUUUUUGAUAAUUAUUGAAGUUCUUCCAAUAUUACAUUAGUUAAAUGUUGUGCUGUGGCACCUGGAGGGUUAUCAAAUUUCCAAAAUCUUUCAUGUACAAUAUCAGUUAAUACAUAUCGCAAUAUGACAAUCAUCUGCGUUUUAUUGGAGCUGUCUGUGGUCUCAUCCACUUGAAUUGCCACAAAAUUCGUCUGGCCAAUCUCCUUAAUUAUAUGAGUAUGCAAAAUGGCUAACAUUGAUUCUAAAAUAUCGUUCUGAAUUGUUUUUGAUGUUCCUUUAAAUACUGUACUUUUUCAAUAUGUUCUUUAAACAUUAAAUCCAGUUCAGAAACAAAAUCGAUAAGGCCCAGAAAAAUUCCUUGGUGCUGUUAUGAGAUGAUUGGAGCUGUUACUUUCGUCAUGACCGCGCAAUGCAAUUUCGAAAACUCCUUUUAUUAUUAUAAACCGAUUUUUAGAAACCGAUUCAUUAAAGUCAUGCACAGAUUUACGAUAUACACUAUCAAGUUGCUGUCUUAUGUUAACACGUCCUAAACUUGCGUAACUCAUUGAUGAAUUUAUAUGAGUAGUGGAAGAAGCAUGCUUUGUAAUUUUGACUUUUAAAUGCUUAAUGUCAGUUACUCCAUUUUUCGCCCAUACAGCGUCAUUCGGAAACAGUAAAUACGGGUAGCAAAAAAAUGCAUUUCUCACACUGCAGCCACAAAUCCAAUUACACAUUGUACAUUGAUUCUUUAAAAUAUCUUUGAAUAUCUUUACCCCUAUCCUUUGUUGGUUUUAAAUUCCUAUUUAGUUUUGGUCGACCACUUUGCUUUUUAUCAAGCCGCCGUUAAUGAUUUAAUGUUUCAGCAGAUUUUAAGGCAAUUAUUUAGUGCGGGCGGCAAACAGUAACUAACUAAAACAAAACAAUAAAACAUUCAUCCAGUCGGGCCGUCGACUACGUUAGCGAUAUAGGACUGAAAGGUGACUCUCACUCCCGCUCACGAAAUGCUAAUCUGCCUUCUUUGUUCUAUUUUACAUGCGUUUCUCCUUAAGCCAUAAGAACUGUAUAGGGACAAUUUAAAAUACGGCCCAGCCACGGGCUUGUGAUGCGCGCGAGGCGCGACGUUAAUAAUAUAUUUAUUUGUUUUGCCAAUGCAGACUGCUUAGAGAAUUUUAUAAUUCACAAUAAAGUUUUAGAUAAAAGAUAUUUAUAAUAAAAUUGGUAUUUUUAUGAGAUUAUUUAAGGGGGGUCAUUGACCAAUUGACCCUAAGAAGGAGCCGCCACUGUUGGUAACCAUAAUUGUUGACUCACUUGUAACUAUUUACCAUUAAUAAAUAGUAACGCACCUUGUAGGGUGAAUAGGAUGCCAGUAGUCAGAAUGUUUUCUCAAAUCUUAACUAAUAUUUUGUUGAUCACAAAAUGAUUGCAGAUGUCUAUUUAUCAUAAAAAAACUCAAAUUGGAGAUUUAUAGUACAUGUUUUUUGUUUUUUUCUACAAAAAUGCACUGUAGUUAGUGAUCGGUCACUUAUAAUGAGUAAUCGGACAGGACAAGAUUGAUCAAUUAUUAAGACCAGUUCAGGAGUAGUAAAUAAUUAAUUUUCGUUGAGAGAUUUACCUUAGAACAAGCAAAAAUGUUAAUUAGUUGAAUUAACUAGAAAAAUGGCAACAAAUUAUACUUUAUUAAAAAAAAUAUACAAAAAUAAAAUCAAAGACAUUACAAAUUAUACUUAAUUUAAUUCCAAAAAAAAAAAACAGAUUAACAGGUAGGUAUUUCGGUCAAUUAGCAAACAAAAAUGUUGUUUGUUAAAAAAAAUCAUUGAUUAAGAAAAAAUAAUUAUAAAAUUAACACAUAAAAAAAGGUGAAAAAAUAAUAUCCCCUAAUUUACUAUACAUAAUUGUAUUUUUUUUUUAAUUUAUUUAUAAUACACGGGAUCAGCCCCAUUACAAAAAAUUUAUAUAUUUCUGAAAAAGAAAUAAAAGCUAUACUACCUAACCACUAAUUACUAAUUAAAAAUAAUUAUCAGACUUAAUCUUAAUACCAAGGAUAAUUAAACCGUUUUACAAGUAGUAACAAUAUUCUCUCAAAAUCAGAACAAUUAACAAUGCAAAAUUAGCUAAGAAAAAACAAAAUAUAUUAUUAUCAAUGACAAUGAUCAAAUGUAUUUCAAAUUAUUGAUCAUGGAGCAAAAUUAAUUUAAAAACCAAAAUCCUACAAACUCUUAAUAAAACUCCUAAAAUGCAUUAAGGAAAUUCCCAAAACUUCAAUUCCAGUAGAGUUUACCAGCCUCAAGGUCCUUUCAGCAGGCGAGUGUAUAGCAUAGUUGGUACAAUGAUAAGGCAAAGAAAACAAUUUACCCUCAGAUUAGGGUGUGGAAUAUUAAAUGAAAUCCUAUUAAGUAGUUCAGGACAAAUCACAAGGCCAUUCAAAAGUUUAUAAAUAAACACCAAAUCAUUCUCAGUGCGUCUCUUAAGUAAACUCCGCAUAUUCAGCAAGUUCAUUGCUUCAUCAUAACAAUGGUCAUUAGGAACUGGGAUGCAAAGUUUAUAAAGGCAGAAUCCUAGAAAUUUAUUUUGAACCCUCUCCAGUGUCAUACAAUUAUUCAUGUACAGAGGAGACCAAAUUAUUGAUCCAUAUUCCAAUAAAGAGACGACAAGUGAUAUGUACAACCUUGCAUGUUUCAACCGACAGAUCCUUACAAUUGCGCGGGACAAAACCAAGGACCUUAGAUGCUUUAGUUAUAAUAGUAUUUACAUGGGUAUUAAAAUUCAAUUGUUCAUCAAAAAAGAUACCAAAAAAAGAUCCUUUACUACUUCAGUGUACCUAAGAUUAACAUUAUCAAUAGUAUAGGAGGAAGUUACCCGUUUGUUUCUUUUGUAGAAACUAAUGUAUUCACACAAUCACACAAUCUAUUCAGAUCAUCUUGCAAGAGAACCAUGUCUUGUUCUGAACUGAUCACCCUAUAAAACUUUAAAUCAUCGGCAAAUAACAAAAAAAUUACUAUUUUUAAAGCAAACCAAAAUAUCAUUAAUGAAAAUAUUGAACAACAUGGGAGAACAAUGAACCCUGUGGAACCCCAGAGGUCACACUGAUAAGAUGGACCUAGCAUCCCCAAUUUAUACCUGCUGAAAUCUGUCAGAAAGAAAACUUGCAAACCAGGCCACCAAACAAUCUGAAAAACCAAAAAGUCUCAAUUUUUCUAGUAAUAAGCUAUGGUUGACACUGUCAAAUGCCUUGGAAAAGUCUGUAUAUAUUACAUCCACUUGUUCACCCCUCUCCAAAGCAUUUAACAGAGCACCCUGAUACAGCAACAAGUUUGUAAUAGCAGACUUGCCACGACUGAAGCCAUGCUGUUCACUUAACAGAAGUUCUUUGCAAUAAAAAUUAAUUUGGUCAAAAAUAAGACUGUCUAGAAGUUUUGGGAUGGCAGACUGUACACACACACUCCUGUAAUUGAUCAUUUCAUUAGCAGCACCACAUUUAAAUAUAGGCGUAAUAAAACUGAGUUUCCACUGGGAUGGAAAAACUGUCAAGUCUGAAGACCUACUGAAUAAAAUAAAGAGGGGAUAAGAGAGGGCACAUACACAUUUUCUCAAAAAAUAAUUGGGUAUACCAUCAGGGCCAGCACUAAGUUUAGGAGGUAAUCGAAAGAUCUUAUCAAAAAAUAAUCCAAUAGAUAAUUUAGGAUUUGGAAUAGUCAUGUUUACACCAGCCUGCCGAGAAGGUAAGACAUUAUUAUCUCUAUUAUAGACAGUAGAAAAAAACCUGGCAAAUCCCUCUGCAAUUUGUUCACAACCUGCAAACUCCCCAUCAUUAUACGUCAUCAAAUCAGGAAGCCUAUUCGUUGCUCUCCUGUUAUUAAACUUAUACCACAAACUCUUGGGGUUUGUAUAAAGUAACUGGGCCAAAUUUGAAAUAAAGUUCUGGUAACAAGUCUCCGUUAGAGUUUUGCACCUAGCUCUAAGAUCUGAAAAGACUUCGUAGUCUGCAACAGUAUGACUAGACUGAUAUUUUUUAUGUGAAAUUUUCUUUUGCUGGAUCAAGUACUAUAACUCCCCUAAAACCAACUGGGAAAAGAUGAGGUUUUGAAUCUCUUAAGAGGUACAAACAAAGCUAUAGCCAUAUUCAAUAUAUGAUAGAACUCUGAAACCGCAUCAUCAAUAUUAAUUACAUUCAAAACAUGGUCCCAAUCAAUUCCACACAAAUAAUUAUUAACACCCAAAUAAUUUGCAUUUCUAUAGUCAUAGAAGAACUGUACAAAAUUUAAAGUUUUUUCUUUACCAUUGUUAAAAAUUAAUUCAAAAUGAUAAGGCUUAUGAUAGACAGAUUUAUCAAAAACACAGUCAACAGCUUCACUCACCACUAGAGCAUUCCUAUUUGUAAAAGUGAGAUCAAGAAAGGUAUUUCCAUCAUUUGGCACAAAAUUCCUUUGAAAAAAGUUAAGGUAAGAAUAAAACUCCCCAAGUAUUAAUUCACAUGAGUUAGGUGGGCAUCUAACAACAGUUCCAAACUCAUCAUUUUCCCAAAGAGCAUCCGGAACAUUAAAAUCACCAAAAAUAAUAAAGUCAGAGUUUGAAAAUUGUUGCCUGAAAAUAUCAACUGACUGGCAAUGUCCUUCAUAAGAAUCCCUAUUGGACCCAGGUGGGAUAUACACCCCGCCCACAUUACAAGCUAAAAACAAUUGCUCAACUGAAUUGUACUGUAAUUUAUUUUUUUUGGCAUUUAUAAAGUCUCUAAUGUAAAUUAAUACACCUCCACCUCUGCGUUUAUUGCUUGUAAGAGACGAUCUAUCACAGCGAUUAAGGGUUCAUUAAUAGAAAAUAUGUAUAUGUUUCACUUUGCCUGAUCUUAUAACUUUAAAUGGUGUUUUUUAAUAAACUAAUAUACUCUAAUAAACCUCUAAUUAUUUAAAAUAAAAG